AAGCAGGGGAUCGUAAGACCUUGCGCUUUUGGAGCGGCCGAUGCCUGAUUAGCUAGUUGGUGGGGUAAGGGCCUACCAAGGCAACGAUCAGUAGUUGGUCUGAGAGGACGACCAGCCACACUGGGACUGAGACACGGCCCAGACUCCUACGGGAGGCAGCAGUGGGGAAUUUUGGACAAUGGGCGAAAGCCUGAUCCAGCAAUGCCGCGUGAGUGAAGAAGGCCUUCGGGUUGUAAAGCUCUUUCAGUCGAGAAGAAAAGGUUGUGACUAAUAAUCACAACUCAUGACGGUACCGACAGAAGAAGCACCGGCUAACUACGUGCCAGCAGCCGCGGUAAUACGUAGGGUGCGAGCGUUAAUCGGAAUUACUGGGCGUAAAGGGUGCGCAGGCGGCUUUGUAAGUCAGAUGUGAAAUCCCCGGGCUUAACCUGGGAAUUGCGUUUGAAACUACAAAGCUAGAGU
rnacentral:rRNA from 1 species